UACAGAGGGUGCAAGCGUUGUUCGGAAUUACUGGGCAUAAAGGGUGCGUAGGCGGUUUGUUAAGUCAGGGGUGAAAGUUUUCGGCCCAACCGGAAAAUGGCCUUUGAUACUGGCGAACUUGAGUGCGUGAGGGGUAACCGGAACGAGUGGUGUAGCGGUGAAAUGCGUAGAUAUCACUCGGAAGGCCAACGGCGAAGGCAGGUUACUGGUACGCAACUGACGCUGAGGCACGAAAGCGUGGGGAGCAAACAGG
rnacentral:rRNA from 1 species